GACGAACGCUGGCGGCGUGCUUAACACAUGCAAGUCGAACGGAAAGGCCCUGCUUUUGUGGGGUGCUCGAGUGGCGAACGGGUGAGUAACACGUUAGUAACCUGCCCUUGACUUUGGGAUAACUUCAGGAAACUGGGGCUAAUACCGGAUAGGAGCUCCUGCUUCAUGGUGGGGGUUGGAAAGUUUCGGCGGUUGGGGAUGGACUCGCGGCUUAUCAGCUUGUUGGUGGGGUAGUGGCUUACCAAGGCUUUGACGGGUAGCCGGCCUGAGAGGGUGACCGGCCACAUUGGGACUGAGAUACGGCCCAGACUCCUACGGGAGGCAGCAGUGGGGAAUAUUGCACAAUGGGCGGAAGCCUGAUGCAGCAACGCCGCGUGCGGGAUGACGGCCUUCGGGUUGUAAACCGCUUUCGCCUGUGACGAAGCGUGAGUGACGGUAAUGGGUAAAGAAGCACCGGCUAACUACGUG
rnacentral:rRNA from 1 species